rnacentral:rRNA from 1 species
CACGUAGGGGGCAAGCGUUGUCCGGAUUUAUUGGGCGUAAAGAGCUCGUAGGCGGUUUCGUAAGUCGGGUGUGAAAACUCUAGGCUCAACCUAGAGACGCCACCCGAUACUGCGAUGACUAGAGUCCGGUAGGGGAGUGUGGAAUUCCUGGUGUAGCGGUGAAAUGCGCAGAUAUCAGGAGGAACACCAACGGCGAAGGCAGCACUCUGGGCCGGAACUGACGCUGAGGAGCGAAAGCGUGGGGAGCGAACAGG